rnacentral:rRNA from 1 species
CUACGGGGGGCUGCAGUGGGGAAUAUUGGACAAUGGGGGAAACCCUGAUCCAGCAAUGCCGCGUGUGUGAAGAAGGCCUGCGGGUUGUAAAGCACUUUCGGUUGGGAGGACUGCUUCUAGCACUAAUAUUGUUGGAAGUUGACGUUACCUUCAGAAGAAGCACCGGCUAACUCCGUGCCAGGCAGCCGCGGUAAUACGGAGGUGCAAGCGUUAAUCGGAAUUACUGGGCGUAAAGCGCGCGUAGGCGGCUAGAUCAGUCGGGUGUGAAAGCCCCGGGCUUAACCUGGGAACUGCAUCCGAUACUGUCUAGCUUGAGUACAGGAGAGGAGAGUGGAAUUCCACAUGUAGCGGUGAAAUGCGUAGAUAUGUGGAGGAACACCAAUGGCGAAGGCAGCUCUCUGGCCUGAUACUGACGCUGAGGUGCGAAAGCGUAGGGAGCAAACAGGAUUAGAUACCCUGGUAGUC